GUCUACAGCCAUAUCACCCUGAACGCACCCGAUCUUGUCUGAUCUCGGAAGCUAAGCAGGGUCGGGCCUGAGUAGUACUUGGAUGGGAGAAAAUGCUGGGCUCUCUGAGUAAAUAGGGCUUGGCCU
rnacentral:rRNA from 1 species